CAGUCGCCGCGGUAAUACAGAGGUCUCAAGCGUUGUUCGGAUUCAUUGGGCGUAAAGGGUGCGUAGGUGGCUUGGUAAGUUGAAGGUGAAAUCUCGGGGCUUAACUCCGAAACUGCCUUCAAUACUGCUGAGCUCGAGGAUUGUAGAGGAGAAUGGAAUUCACGGUGUAGCAGUGAAAUGCGUAGAUAUCGUGAGGAAGACCAGUGGCGAAGGCAGCCUCCUGGGCCAAUACUGACGCUCAUGCACGAAAGCGUGGGGAGCAAACAGGAUUAGAUACCCCAGUAGUCCCUGUCUCUUAUAA
rnacentral:rRNA from 1 species